rnacentral:rRNA from 1 species
AGCCUGCCCACUGAAUUAUUUAAAUGGCCGCAGUAUCCUAACUGUGCAAAGGUAGCAUAAUCAUUAGUCUUUUAAUUGAAGGCUGGUAUGAAUGGUUGGACGAGAUAUUAACUGUUUCAUAUAGAUUUAUAAUAGAAUUUUAUUUUUUAAUCAAAAAGUUAAAAUAUAUUUAAAAGACGAGAAGACCCUAUAAAUCUUUAUAUUUAGAUUAUUAUAUUUUUUUAGAUAAAUUUUAAUAUAAUAAUUAAUAAUAUUUUAUUGGGGUGAUAUUAAAAUUUAAUAAACUUUUAAUUUUAUUAAAUCAUUAAUUUAUGAAUAAUUGAUCCGUUAAUAACGAUUAAAAAUUUAAGUUACUUUAGGGAUAACAGCGUAAUUUUUUUGGAGAGUUCAUAUCGAUAAAAAAGAUUGCGACCUCGAUGUUGGAUUAAGAAAUAUGUUUAGGUGUAGCCGCUUAAAUAAUAAGUCUGUUCGACUUUUAAAUUCUUACAUGAUCUGAGUUCAAACCGGCGUAAGCCAGGUUGGUUUCUAUCUUUAAAAA